rnacentral:rRNA from 1 species
UACGAAGGGGGCUAGCGUUGCUCGGAAUCACUGGGCGUAAAGGGUGCGUAGGCGGGUCUUUAAGUCAGGGGUGAAAUCCUGGAGCUCAACUCCAGAACUGCCUUUGAUACUGGGAAGCUCGAGUCCGGAAGAGGUGAGUGGAACUGCGAGUGUAGAGGUGAAAUUCGUAGAUAUUCGCAAGAACACCAGUGGCGAAGGCGGCUCACUGGUCCGGUACUGACGCUGAGGUGCGAAAGCGUGGGGAGCAAACAGG